CCGUUUCACUUGAGCUGAAUGCUGGUAGUCUGGAGGCCUUUCUUGCUUUUCAAGAUGGAGAACCUAGAGGGAAGCCAUAGACAGCAGUGACGGCUUGAUGACGGCUUUAGAUGUAUUCAUAUUGCUUAUCAAACUGCCUUCUGAACAACCUUUGAAGAUUCAACUUUGAAGAGCAAACUCUACUGGCACAGACAUAUUUUGUUGACCAUCCUGGGUAGUUAAUGAACCUAGAAAUAAAGUGUUUGUUCGGAAUGGA